CUUCUCCUUCUCCUUCUCCUUCUUCUUCUUCUUCUUCUUCUCCUUCUCCUUCUCCUUCUCCUUCUUCUCUUCUCUUCUUCUUCUCCUUCUCCUUCUUCUUCUUCUUCUUCUCCUUCUCCUUCUCCUUCUUCCUUCUUCUCCUUCUCCUUCUUCUCCUUCUCUCCUUCUCCUUCUCCUUCUUCUUCUCCUUCUUCUUCUCCUUCUUCUUCUUCUUCUUCUUCUCCUUCUGCUUCUUCUUCUUCUUCUUCUUCUUCUUCUUCUUCUUCUUCUUCUUCUUCUUCUUCUUCUUCUUAGUCACAGCCAGGCUAAACGGCACUCUGCACAAGAUGAGGAUCCCUCAGAGACGGCUGUUUUUAUCGAGCAGGGAGGAGCCGUCACUCGAUCUCGGAGAGGCGGCCCGGGUUUGGUGCGGAUGCUCCGAGUGGCCUUCUGCUCCCGUCAGCGUACCCCUCUGCUGCUCAGCCUGUACCUGCUCACUGUGCAUGUCCUGCUGCUGCUGUGUCUGGGAGGAUUCCUCUGAAAGCAGCUCCUUUAAAUGGAACCUGACAGAUUAGAGUUCGAGUUAGAGGAGGGGAGAGGAACUGUGAGGCAGACCUAACCCAAGCCAUCAAUAUUUUGUAUAUUGUUACAUGUAAUAAAUUAUAGGAAGGUGUGAAGGAUUUCCUCCACACAAACAUUGCACUUUACAGGACUUAAUGCUUGCGUUCACGUGCUCCUCAGAUUGUCGUUCUUCUGUCUUUGAGAGCUUUAAGUCGAGUAGAAGUAGAAGACAAGAAAGAAGUCCAUCUUUUACGUGGACAGCAAAUAGUGAUUACAACCUAGCACCAUGUUACAAAUGACAUGUGAGCAAAGAGUUGAUCUGCAAGACGUAAAUUAAUAAAAGGGUUUCUUACCAUCAACUUAACAUUUACGGCAUAUUUCUGCUUAAUAUGCACAUGAAUGCAGCAUUAAUCCUUUAGCCAAAGUAUGUAGAUUUAUAUAGGAGGUUGUUGUCAUUGGUGUUCACUAUGUUGCUCGUGUAUGACUGAGGGAAACCCAAGCAGGGAGGACAUGAGGGAACUCAUCUUAAAUCUAUGGUUUAAGAAGAAAACAAGAGAGAAUUUAUAAUGAAGUAUGUUGGCAGAUGGUGUUACGUGCCUUUAGAUUUGGAUAUAAAAGGGUCACUUUACGUUAGAGCAGAAGUCGUCUGACAUUUAGGGGACUAAGCUAGAUCAUCCGUUUGUUAAAUAUGCCGCCACAGCCUGCAGACGGUUAGCGGACACGGCUCCAAUGAUUACAAUCCACCCAAAAGCAACUCAAAAUGUUCACUAUUAAACAAGUAAUAUCUUCAAUUCAUACAGAAACCAAAGUAAAAAGUAACCAUUUGUAUUAUUGUCGUAGUCCUUUGGGCACAUGGGACGACUUUUCUUUCAUCUAACUGUCGCCAGAAAGCAAAUAAGCGCAUUUCUCAAAAUGUCAAACUAUUAUUUUAAGAUGGCUUGUGGUUCAGGACGUGCCGUUAUAGUCCGGUCUCUUCCUCUUCUCCUCAUUUCAUGCACAAAAUCGGAGCACAGUGCAAUUUCUGUUCUUACACAUUCCUAUUGCUCGUUUCCUUUUCUUUUCUUUCCCUCCUAUAUAAAUCACAUUGAAAAAAAAAGGGGAUCAUUAUAUUGAUAUGUGUUCAUAUGUAUUACGUACGUCAGCUGGCUGUGGGUUUUCCUUCUUCACAUAUCCACUAAGAGUCCUCGUCCAUGCUGCUGUUGCACACAUUUUACAGUUUGCUCUGUAGUUUUUAUGGCAGAUGAAGCCGCCAUUCUGGUGCAAUGUUCCCACAGUGUGGAUUCAUUCCUGAGGAGAAAGACUGCCGUGUUUUCUAAUGAUCUCCAUCCCAUUAAAGACUACUCUGAUGUAGCAUAAUUUAUUGCCUAUAGCAGUUAUCCACAUGUAUAUUGACAUCAUCCUCUGGAUUCUUGUUUAUUUAAUCGCACACUGUUGGUGAAAGGAUCCCUCUGUACUCUUCUUCUUUUAACGUUCAUGUUCUUCACGUGUUACACACUGAAAUAUACUUAAACUGUAAAUAACUGUUAAUUAAAAAGGGCUGUAUAGAAACCUCAAAUGUAAUAAAGGUGUCGGUGGUUUAGAUCAGGGACAGAUCUUGUCAAGCAUUAAUUAUUUGCUCAUCUGUCGGGGGGGGGAAAAAAGACAUUUUAUUUACAUUUUCCUUUUAUUUGUGAAGCAAUUAAGAAGUGGGUCUUAUUAAUCAGGGAUGAGUGACAUACUAUAACAUUUUGAAACAUUAAAAACACUACAUUGCUUCUCUAUAAGGGAGUUUUUGCUGACACACUUAAGUCACUUUUCGCAAAAGUGCUUAAAGCACAGAAUAAAGAUUGAACAUCUGAGUUGUGUCUGUCUGUACUCGUGUCAGCCAGUGAAUUACUGAACAUGGAAGUUUAAAUAUUUCAGAUGUAGUUUAAUGAAUUGAUUAAAGUGGGUACGAACAACAGGUUCAGCUGGAGAAAACGGUACAUUUAAUUUUUUCAAGCAGGAUGUGAACUUUCCUUGUGGGAGUUUAUUGUAUUACCUUUUUAAAUAGUGUGCUUUUAUGUGAAGUAAAGUUUCAUUUACCCCCAGGCUUUUCCUACCACUGUGAGCUAUUGUGUUUAGGCUGUGUGAGUCUGCCCCCAAGUGUUGAAACUACACACAACCUGCUAAAUCAUAGUUCUAGUUGGCAUUCAAGUUCUGCUCAUAAAAUAGUUUUAAAGGUCAGAAACUGUGACUAACAUAGUAACCCGUAAUUAUCAGUGUGUUUAACUGCUUCUGCUUUAAACUAGUAGUAGUAGUAGCAGCUCCUGUAUCUUAAAACUCCCUAUUUACUCUCAUC
ensembl:lncRNA